rnacentral:snRNA from 1 species
AUGCUUGCUUUGACAGUACACAUACUAAAAUUGGAACAAUACAGAGAAAAUUAGCAGGGCCUCUGUGCAAGGAUGACAUGUAAAUUUGUGAAGAAUUUCAUAUUUUU